rnacentral:tRNA from 1 species
GGCCGGUUGGCCCAAUGGCAAGGCGUCUGACUACGACUCGCGGAUCUCGAGCUCGAGAUCGGGGAUCGUGUAAUCAGGAGAUUCUGGGUUCGACCCCCAGGCUGGUCA